GCCUGGGUGGCUUAGUCGGUUAAGCAUCUGACUUCUGCUCAGGUCAUGAUCUCACGGUUCGUGGGUUCAAGCCCCACGUCUGUCU
rnacentral:tRNA from 1 species